CAGGCUGGGAAAUCAAGUUUCUGGCUUCUACCUUGGGGAGGCAUGGACCUCUACUGUAGGAUUUUCCCCAGAUAUAGGAAGAACCUUCGAAGGAUUCAUGCAAAGAUGGCCACAAAGCACAACAGAAAUGCUAUGCAGAGAUGGAAGAAGAUGGAAAGUGGAAGAAAAGCCUCCCCAGCCAGUGCUCAGGGAAGGCAGAUGCGUGCCAUGAGCUGGACAGAACUACCCCUGAGUGGCAUGUACAUUGUCACACUCUCUGAGUCAAGGUUCCUGGCUUCCCCGUGACCUCCAAGACUUGGCUGUGACUGAAAUUUCCACUAGAAAAGAAUGCUGAAAGGACACAGCUGUGCUCCUCUGUGUCUACACCGGGAACUCCAUCUCCCGGGCUCUCAACCCUCCUCCCACAGAGCCGAGUGGGUGCUCAGGGCCAGGCUGUGGUGGUUUCAGCACACAGGGAAUUGUCCCCAGUCCCUGCCCUUGCACGACUCACCUGGUAAUUCCUGAGACUAAACACCACACUCCCUGGUCAUCAAACUUCUAAAUCUAACCAUGUGAUUGGUUGAGUUUGGUCAAAUUGAGGGACAUAGGCCCCCCAUGACGUCCUCCCCACCUACAAGGAAUGCUGGGUGUUAUCCCGGCCACCUGAGCCCUCCUCAGAUCUCUCCGCACACAGGGAGUCAAGCCUUCCUUGUCUUCCCCUUUUGGCUUUCAGGGUUUCCAUUGCUCUCUGACUCUCACACCACUCGCCUCACUAAUCUUCCCCCCCGCUCAACACCUCACAGCAGUAAGAUGACAAAAGACUUCCAGUCCUGAGCAUGGUGGGGAAAAAGUGAGGGGAGGCUUGAGCAGGGUGAGCUGGGAGGGAAGAGAGAGAGUUCUCUUUCUCCUAAUCAUGAACGUCACUCAUGUAUUCGUUUGGUUGCCCUGAGUAUACGUUGGCUGGAUGGGGAAACACGGGAGGGGUUGGAGGCUGGGCUUGACGGCCCACGCAGCUCUUUGCCCAAGGUCUGUUCAAAGAAGUGCGCUGUCUAUCAAGGAAGUCAUUAAAAUGGACUUCCAAGCCCUCCUUGGACUUCCUCUGCUGAGGCUCAACUCAGCUGUGCUUCUCAGAAGCGCCUUUCUUCUUUCACAUUCGUAGCUCCUCCAAGUUUCCAGAACCAUCCAGCCUACACCAUGUCUCUUCUUGGCUGGAGUGUGGGUUUCGGAGCCAGACUGCCUGAGUUCUAAUCCUGGCUCAGAAACUUAUCAGACUUGGGCAUGUUACUUAAUCUCUCUCUGCCUCAGAUCCCUUGACUCUGAUGUGGGUCGAGAACAUCUACUGAAGCGUACUGCUUAAGGUUGUUGCAAGGACUGUCGUGGUAACAGUCCUAAAAGAUGGAAAGUAGCCUUGGCCCACGGCAGGCACCAUGGAAGUGUCGGUAGCGAUCAAUGUUGUUACUAUUAUGAUUAUUCUCUCUCCCCUUCCCUCUUACCCCACAUCUGCAGUUCGGUCUUUAUCACCCCACUGUCCUCCCAAAGCCUUGGCAGGCUGGCUGAGGGUGGCAUGGGUGGCUUGGAAAUCUGCAGAUGCUCACAUGGCAGGGAACCUGUGCUGGGUGUUGGAGAAGCCAUGGGGACCCUGCAGAUGAUCCUUA